rnacentral:tRNA from 2 species
GCGAGGGUAGUUCAGUGGCAGAACGCGCGCCUGUGGAGCGCGAUGUCGCGGGUUCGAAUCCCGUCCCUCGCC